UACAUUGCAAAGAACGGGUACAUACCACCAUUAAUUUAAUGCUUUUUUGUCAAUAUUUCGACCCAAGUGCUCGGGUCGUGGUCACGACGGAAGUUUAGUGCUGCGUGAGAUGAAGUUCGAACUGUCAUGGGCAGUAGCGAACUACCCUCUUUCUUGUUCUUGAACUUC